GACGAACGCUGGCGGCGUGCUUGACACAUGCAAGUCGAACGGAAAGGCCUGCUUUCCCUUGUGGAUUGCGGGUACUCGAGUGGCGAACGGGUGAGUAACACGUGAGUGAUCUGCCCCCAACUUGGGUAUAAGCCUGGGAAACUGGGUCUAAUUCCCGAUAGGACUGCAGGGUGGUGCUUGUGGUGGAAAACGAUUUUCUAGUGGUUGGGGAAGGGCUCGUGGCCUAUCAGCUUGUUGGUGGGGUAAUGGCCUACCAAGGCGGCGACGGGUAGCCGGCCUGGGAGGGUGGACGGCCACAUUGGGACUGAGAUACGGCCCAGACACCUACGGGAGGCAGCAGUGGGGAAUAUUGCACAAGGGGCGGAAGCCUGAUGCAGCGACGCCGCGUGGGGGAUGACGGCCUUCGGGUUGUAAACUCCUUUCGACCGCGAGGAAGCCACCUGGUUGGAAGGGUGGUGACGGUAGUGGUAGAAGAAGCACCGGCUAACUACGUG
rnacentral:rRNA from 1 species